CCUUCCUCUGCUCUGUGCCGUCACAUGUGCUCAGACACAGAGAGAGACGGAGGUGCACGAGACCAUCGCUGAUUUUCACCACCAAGCUUGUUGCUGGAAAAUAACUAUAAACUUGAUAAAUUGAGCAAAUAUCCAUACCGGAGAUCUGCAUGGACCUUGGAGAAACGGGCCUGAUUUGUUGAGAACGUUUUGGACUUUGGAACCAUCACGGCUAGUUUUUUUGUGGGAUCGUGAGACCUGGAUUUCUUCCUGACGAGGAAGAUGGCGAGCCUCUCCCUUUGAACCGAACCACAGCCAUUCCGAGUUGGGCCAGAAGGGCAGGUUGCUCUUCUCUCACGAACAAUUGCAACAGUGCGGGGUUAUCACGAAUACUUCCACCUUUUACCGCAGCAACCUCCCGUAGCAAAUAGCAAGGGAAUUAACAACACAAAGGGAAACAUCCAGCAACAAGUCUCCAGAAUGAAGAGAUGAAUCACACCAGGGCCUGACACCAUUCAAGGGUGCUGGCUGAAGAAGCUAGCAGCUUCACCUGGCAGCACAAAUAAGGAGGCUGCAAACUGCAAGCACUCAUCUGAAAUGGCUAACACUGGGCAGAACAAUCCUGAUAAAGAAGGAUCCCCACAAACUAAAACACCAUCAAAAUACUGGUUGAUAACCUGCAUCUGAGUAGGCAUUGGUAAGACAUUGGAAAAAAAACAUCACAAUGCCUAAGUACCAACUUCUGGUUGAUAGAGCAGUACACCAGAAGUCAAAGACUAGUGAGACCAACCCAAGGACUACCUGGAUUGACUACAAGAAAGCUUAUGACUCAAUGUCCCACAAAUGAUUACUACUGUGUUUGGCACUGUACAGUAAUGCACUAACUCAAAGCCAACCAAACAAGGCUCCAUGAAGUGUGAAAUAUAUGAAGGUCAUGCACUGUCCCCACUGUUGUUCUACACAGGCCUCAAACCCCUAACAGCCAUUACUGAUGAACUUUACAUAUAGAUUCAGGAGUGGGGUGACCAUCAACCACUUCAUGUACACAGUUCUCAUCAAAGUGUAUUCCAGGAGAGAGCAGGGCAUUGGCUCACUGAUCCAUCUCACCAGUAUCUACAGUGAAGACAUUUCAUUUGGGAUGUCAUGUUGUCAGGAGUUUUUCUGUAUUGCAACUCAGGUCAGAAUAAAGACGUUCAGACAGGUUAACGUGUACACGGGUGAGCCUGAGGGAGACGCACCGUGCAAUAGUUGUCAGCCUUUUUAUUCAUAGCAUUCUCAGAGACGUACAGGAAGAGAUAAAAUAGAACUGUGCAGGCUUCCUGUUGAGUCUGCACUUCCCCAUUUAAGUGUAACUUCCCCAUUUAAGCUUAAUACUGAAAGAGCAAACACAUUUA